ACUGUUUAUACAAGACCCUUAAACAAGACCAACAAGAGUCACAGAAUGUACUUAUAAAAUGAAAAAAGAGAGUAUUCACAUGCAGAAUUUAUAAGGAAUUCUCAUGAUUUAGUAAGAAAAUGAAAGAAACCCCAAAUAAGAUCAGUUAAUUCACAGAAGGAAUACAAAUGUUCAAUGAAUCAUACUGAAAGAUAACCAACUUCUAAGAUAAAAUAAUGUCAUGAACAAUAAGACGAGAUACCACCAUUAAGUUGAUAAAAUCUUGAAGUCCAACAAUAUCAAGUGUGCAAAGGCUGUGGAUAGUCUCAAACGAAGGUAGCUAAACUUAAAUUUGUGGAGAAACUUCAGAGAGCAAUUUGACAUAUUUAAAACGACAUAUACAUACCCUACGAUUCCACAUUUCCACUUCUAGGUAUUUAUUCUAGAAAAACAUUGGCACAUGUAGAUGUUCAUUUAUCCGUUGUUUAUAACAUCAAAAAAAAAAACACACACACAUAAAUUAUCCGUCCCUGAUAAGGUCAACUACAGUAUAUUUACAUAAAUGAGAAAAAAAAACAAAAAGUUAAAUCUUUAUGACAUUGUUGAGGCUUAUUUUCCCUUUAAAUGGAAGACGGGUUAAAAUACAUACAAAAAAUAGCAAAACCUCCUUUUUUUUCUACAAGUUACAUAGAGAUUCAUGUAAAUACAAAAUAAGUGUGUGUUGGCGGGGAGGGGGGUUCUUAAAAAAUAAGCACCAAAUUGAUAAUCGUGGAAAGUCAGCUCCUGGAAAAAGAUAUAGAACCAAGCAUUUCUUCACAAUUUUUAAAGAAAAUAGCGUUAUUUGCGAAUUUAACUUUUUUAAAUAACAAAAAUUUAAAAAGCAGCCUGGGUCAUUUGUUAAUAUGUUGCCCAGUGGUUGCGGAUAUUGUCUGGCCUGGAGACGUGGAUUCACAAGUCAUUUGAGCAUGGAUUAAAGGUAAACUAAAAGCUUGAUGCGACUGCCAGGGGGAGGGAG
rnacentral:lncRNA from 1 species